CCUACGGGCGGCAGCAGUGGGGAAUAUUGCACAAUGGGGGAAAGCCUGAUGCAGCGACGCCGCGUGAGCGAAGAAGUCUUUCGGUACGUAAAGCUCUGUCAUCAGGGAAGAUAAUGACGGUACUUGACGAAGAAGCCCCGGCUAACUACGUGCCAGCAGCCGCGGUAAUACGUAGGGGGCUAGCGUUAUCCGGAUUUACUGGGCGUAAAGGGAGCGUAGGUGGUUUAGUAAGUCAGAAGUGAAAGCCCGAGGCUCAACCCUUAGAAAGCUUUUGAAACUGGUGAACUUGAUUGCAGGAGAGGUGAGUGGAAUUCCUAGUGUAGCGGUGAAAUGCGUAGAUAUUAGGAGGAACACCAGUUGCGAAGGCGGCUCACUGGACUGUAAAUGACGCUGAGGCACGAAAGCGUGGGGAGCAAACAGGAUUAGAUACCCGUGUAGUC
rnacentral:rRNA from 1 species